GGUCAGACGUGUUUAUACCUUUUCUAUUACGUUGUGAUCGCGAGUGCUUUUCUUUUCGAUAGUGUAGUAUAUUUCAUGUAACUCAAUUCUGACUCUCAUUACAUAUUAUGAAUUUACGAAAUAAUCUGCUGUGAGUCAAUUUUUGACUACAGAGGUUAAUAAACCACUCCACACAACGAGAUGAGCCAACAUCAGAUGAGUCAACAAUCAACGCAACUCAACUACGCAAGUGCAAUUGUAUGUUAACUCAAUCAAGAGUUAACAUACACGACAAGUGUAUUCAAAAUAUUCCAGACUCAUUCAAAAUAGAAUUAGACAACACUACGUAUUGGAUAUAUGCUUCAACUGAUAUACUUAAGUGUUUCCUAUGUAAACAGGCGGGCCACGUAGCUAAACAAUGUUAGGAAACUCAACUCAACCAAAAAAUUCCUCAGCCGGCUCUAAAAUACCUUCUCCCACUACUUUUAUAAAUAACGUAAGCAAUCAACAACUGUUCGCUCCGAUUUCGAUCAUCUUUCAAACGUCCGCUUACUGAAUCAUCUGUCUCAACUGCCUUAUCUGAUGGUACGUAUAUCUCAAGCUCCGGAGUAAGUCUAGUCAUUAGAUGAAAAUUCGUAUACAACUGAUAAUUCUGACAUGACCGGAAAAUCUAAAAAACUCAAAAAAGUAAACAGCCCUACUAAAAAAAUAAAGUGGAUAAACAGAAAUCAGAGGAAUCUCUUUUGCUUGAAGCGAAAAUUCUUCCACUUAAAGAAGUUAUAGAAAACACAGUUUCCAACUACCCUCUCAGCUACUUAAGCUUACUAAAUCUAGUUGAUAAAGCGCGCAGUAAUACUGAUAUUGAUAAACUAGCAUUAGAAUUCUGUCUCGAUCCAAUAAAUAUGGAGACCAAUAAAAGGACUCAAAAUUACGGUAGGGGUUUUCCACACAAGCCCCAGUUAUAGCAUACUAGCGGAAACAAAUAUACCUUUACUGAGCUAUUGCAGAAAAAUACUUAUUUAUAAAUAUGCUUGCAAACUUUCAGUGACAUCAUUCAUGCCUGCAUCUAGAAUAAUAUUCACAGAAGAAAAUAAUUUUUAUGUAAACAGAAAAUAUUACCCACAACCGUUCGCCAAAAGAUUGGAAAAAUAAUUAUCGAACUCGAUAUGGAAAUACCAGAAACCAUACCUAAAGUCCAUCCAAUUAAUCUGGUUGAAGUAGACGGUGCUAAAAAUAUUUCAGGUUCUGGAGCAGGAAUAAUCUUUCAGGACAAAAACAAAAUUCAGAUCAUUUUGCAUAGGUCCUAUUCCGAGACUGAAGCAAAAUGUAUCUCUGCUCUCAGAGCACUUGAUUUGACCAAAUCAAGAGGAUACAGUAAUGUUAUUUUUUAUGUCAAUUCUGAUCAUAUGUUCGAGCAACUACUUAAUCCAUACACUAAAAAUCGUCUUAUCCAAAUUAUUCAUACAAAACUACUACAAGUAUAUAACAAAUCGAUUAUAACUAGUCAAACAAGUCGACCAAUCGACGUCUAGUAGAUGACUCUAUUACUAGUUAGAAAUACACAGAAAAUUAUGUCUAAAGCUAUUUUACUGAAAUGAUAAAUAAAUAGAAAGAAUCUAAUUUUUUAUUAACGCAUCAACACAUUUUGGAAAAAAUGCUCCGAUUGAAUUGCGAUCACUGCAAAGUUAUAAUAUCGAUUCCACAUAUUUUUAUUGAAUGUCCUUUUUUUACUAAAGACAGAAGUAAAAAUAAUCUACCUAGCAGAGUCAAGAAAAUGCUCAAUGAUCCUCAGAUGUUUCCUAAAGAGAUAAAUUACCUAUCAGACAUCAAACUUAUUUAUAAAAUAUAAGAUAAUAUUAUUUGUAUUAUGUAGUAAUCACAAUUCUCUUUUAUGUAUUUAUUAUACUUCUUGUACAUAUUUAGUUAAAACUAAUGUAAAACUAUUAUAAUAUGUAUUUAAAGUCGCUAAUGGCCAAGUUGUCGAUGCAACGUUAAAUAAAAUAAAUUUAAAAAAAAUUAGA